GCAAUUAUCUGCACAUAAAAUAGAUGUCACUGCAGUUCCAUCACCCACCAGGCGAGCCGACGGAUUGCAAUGCAUCGUGGGACGUAGACACCCUCAGGUGACGAUAGCAGUGACGAAAGGGACUGGAGGGGAGGAGAGAGGUGUGGAAAUGAUAUAAUGAGGGGAGGAAGAGGACUGAUAAAAGGAAAAAGAGAGGAGACAGUCCGGUAGAAACAUUUCAUCCUCACAGUUGGCAUUUGGGAGAGGCUCUGGCUCUGGUUCUCAGCAUCACCAGUGGGUGGGGCUGCUCCUGCCUCAUGGGUCCAGUGGGUACACCUGUUCCUCUCUACUCAUUACUUCUCUGGAUUUAAGGACCGGCUGGAACCUCCAUUCUCCUCCAGAUUGUUGACGCCUGUGUGGGAGUAAUCAGGCUCAGUUACUAUGAUCUUAUCACUCUUUUGCAGUUCCCUGACUGUUCUCUCAGCCUCUCUCCUAGUUUUUCUUCUGGUUUGAUUCCUGGCUGGACCCUGCAAACAAAGAAAUCUUUUACUUACUUGCCUGUCCACUCGCCACCAAUCUCACCCUCUGGAAAUCCUUGCGAGUCUCCCCCAUCAGCAGCUACAUGAAGAGAUUCAAGUAAGACCACAAAUCUGCUCUCAAAUUGUAUAACAGCGGCAAAUCACAUUAGUUCUUUACUAACCUGUCCUCUCCACUCUGGCAUAUCCUCUGGUGAAAUGCUGCCCAGUCCCUGAAAAGACACUCUUACAACAGUAAUACUUGCCUGC
ensembl:lncRNA